rnacentral:rRNA from 1 species
UACAGAGGUCUCAAGCGUUGUUCGGAUUCAUUGGGCGUAAAGGGUGUGUAGGUGGCGCGCUAAGUCGGGUGUGAAAUUUCGGAGCUUAACUCCGAAACUGCAUUCGAUACUGGCGUGCUUGAGGACUGGAGAGGAGACUGGAAUUCAUGGUGUAGCAGUGAAAUGCGUAGAGAUCAUGAGGGAAGACCAGUGGGCGAAAGGCGGGGUCUCUGGGACAGUUCCUGACACUGAGACACGAAGGCUAGGGGAGCAAACGGG